GACCACGUAGCUCAGUUGGCAGAGCAUUGGGCUAGUAUUCCAAAGGUCGUAGGUUCGAUUCCCACCGUGGACA